GAUGAACGCUGGCGGCGUGCCUAAUACAUGCAAGUCGAGCGAACGGACGAGAAGCUUGCUUCUCUGAUGUUAGCGGCGGACGGGUGAGUAACACGUGGAUAACCUACCUAUAAGACUGGGAUAACUUCGGGAAACCGGAGCUAAUACUGGAUAAUAUUUUGAACCGCAUGGUUCAAAAGUGAAAGACGGUCUUGCUGUCACUUAUAGAUGGAUCCGCGCUGCAUUAGCUAGUUGGUAAGGUAACGGCUUACCAAGGCAACGAUGCAUAGCCGACCUGAGAGGGUGAUCGGCCACACGGGAACUGAGACACGGUCCAGACUCCUACGGGAGGCAGCAGUAGGGAAUCUUCCGCAAUGGGCGAAAGCCUGACGGAGCAACGCCGCGUGAGUGAUGAAGGUCUUCGGAUCGUAAAACUCUGUUAUUAGGGAAGAACAUAUGUGUAAGUAACUGUGCACAUCUUGACGGUACCUAAUCAGAAAGCCACGGCUAACUACGUG
rnacentral:rRNA from 1 species